AUUGAACGCUGGCGGCAUGCCUUACACAUGCAAGUCGAGCGGCAGCACGGGGGCAACCCUGGUGGCGAGUGGCGAACGGGUGAGUAAUACAUCGGAACGUGCCCUGAAGUGGGGGAUAACGUAGCGAAAGUUACGCUAAUACCGCAUAUUCUGUGAGCAGGAAAGCAGGGGAUCGCAAGACCUUGUGCUUUAGGAGCGGCCGAUGUCGGAUUAGCUAGUUGGUGAGGUAAAGGCUCACCAAGGCGACGAUCCGUAGCGGGUCUGAGAGGAUGAUCCGCCACACUGGGACUGAGACACGGCCCAGACUCCUACGGGAGGCAGCAGUGGGGAAUUUUGGACAAUGGGCGCAAGCCUGAUCCAGCCAUGCCGCGUGAGUGAAGAAGGCCU
rnacentral:rRNA from 1 species